GUUUGCUGAGUCUGUUUCCUGCCAGGACAGUCCUUUGUGACCAUAAGGAGUGGAGGAAAUAGCACCCUGGGGACAGACACCUCCGAAGCUCCAGGCUCUGGCUGCUUGAAGAGGGAGCCGAGUAGGAGAGGAUGGAGAUUCUGACUCAGAAGCCAAGAAACAGGGAACAGGCCCAGCAUGGGGAGGCAGCGGGUGCAAGAAGGGCAAGAAGUGACAAUUGAAGGCAAAGCCCAACUUAAGAACCCCCUUGGGAAGUCUGGG
rnacentral:lncRNA from 1 species